rnacentral:lncRNA from 1 species
UUCCUGCAGCCAAAAUUUUUGUGAGGUGAGGCUAAUCAGAAAUGUGUUAAACAAUUUACUACAGCUAAUACUAAUAAACACUGGGAAAUUACUAAUAUCUCUCUCAUUUUCAGUUGCAUAAACCCCCAUUGUAACUGUGGCACCUAUGCAGUUCCAGCUACUCAUUCAUGUCCUGAAGGAGUUUGUAUUUUUAUGAGCUUACAGAGGAGCACUGGGAGAAUUUAG